GACAGAGGUGCCGAGCGUUAGGCGGAAUCACUGGGCUUAAAGCGUGUGUAGGCGGAUGCCUAAGUACCUUGUGAAAUCCCACGGCUCAACCGUGGAACUGCUUGGUAUACUGGGUGUCUUGAGCUAUCUAGGGGCGACUGGAACAAACGGUGGAGCGGUGAAAUGCGUAGAUAUCGUUUGGAACGCCAAUGGUGAAAACAGGUUGCUGGGGAUAUGCUGACGCUGAGACACGAAAGCCAGGGGAGCAAACGGG
rnacentral:rRNA from 1 species